GGACUGUGAAGCCUGCUGGAGGGCCUGGAUUCAAGGACGUGAAGUGGCUACUAGGUGGCCACAAGCAUGGUGGCGGGUAUGGAAAUGAAGGUGGGUACGGUGGAGGAUACGGAAACAAUGGUGGGUACGGCGGAGGAAAUGAUCCACCUAGCUACGGUGGUGGAUAUGGGCCUGGAUACGGUGGAGGAUAUGAUGGGCCUGGAUACGGUGGAGGAUACAAGCACCAUGUCCAUGGCGGUGGUGGCUAUGGGCCUGGAUAUGGCGGUGGCUACGGACCCAGUUAUGGAGGUGGAAACAGUUGCCCUCCAUGCGGAAGUGGUAAUGCUGGUCCUGGGUACGGAGGCGGCUACGGUGGUGGCAAUGGUGGAGGAUACCGUAGUGGCAGCGGAUACGGUGGAGGUGGCGGCUAUGGAGGUGGAUAUGGUAGUAGUGGCACUUCUCCAUGAGGCAGACAUGGCAGCAGUGCGUAGGAACAAUGGUG
rnacentral:lncRNA from 1 species